UAGUAAAUUUCUAUUGUAAGUAUGGAUUGUUUAAUAAAAGUAAAGUUAUUUUUAAUAUUUUUUGCAGCUGUUUCUCUGUGAUCGAAAUGAACAACCAAAACUCAGAAUUUCUCUUGUUCUUAUGUUCUUCAUUCAUGCACCAUGAAGAAGAAAUUUCUCAGUGAGGAGAGAGUAGCAGUUACUGUGUAAGUGGGAGACCAUGGCUUGCUGCAUCUCUGGAGUAAACUCUCAGAAAUGUUGGGUGCUGCUUUGACGUACACAAAGAAUGGGACGGGUUAGAGCAUGGAGGGAGCUGUCACAGGACUCUGGAGGUGAAGGAGAAUAUGCAUUGUCUCUUCAUUUCAUCCAUCUUCAUUUUAACCAGCAGCUAGACGUGCUACAGCCCCCACUCCCCUGGACCUACCAUGGCUGCACCACGGAUUUGUAUACAGCAUGGACAGAGAGGCAAGAGAGGCCCGUUGUUAACAAUCCUGAUGAGAGUUAAUGCAUGCUGAAUAGGGAUUUAUAUUCUAGCUUAAGAGUCAUUAAAAAUGGAUAGUCUGUUGAGGUAUUCUAUCUUGGAUUUGGACUUUGAAGAAAAAUCUUCCGAUAAAAGCCUUGUAAAGGUCUCUGAGUAGCUUCAAAUUUCCUUCAUAUUCACAACACUCUUUGAAAGGGAAGAUUACCCAGUGUCCAUUGUAAUCAGUGACUGACAGUCAUCAGGGUGGGAAUUCUGACUCUCUGAGACUUCUCAGACAUCUGUUUAAUCCAGGUAGGUAAAAAGUGAGACCAUUUUAUGUUGGCAAGUUAAAUCUAUCCCACACAGACAGGCUGAUUAUGGCUGAUGACAGCCCUUGGUUGGCACUUACCACCAAUAAUAUUUUUGUGUGUAGAGGGCCAGUGAAGGUGUGAUGUGUGUCAGGAUCUCUAUGAUAGACUUCUCUCCAAGAUGCAGGUAUCCAGAGAUGCAUUUGGAAGAUAAUAGGUUCAGUUUCAUGAGCUUUACUGUUAGCUCUGUGAUGUGCUGAUACCUAAAAUUCUCAGCAUAGGCAUAGCUGUAGCAGGUGGAAUUGCCCGAGGUUAUAGAUUGCUGGAUGUAAUUAUUCAAGCACAGUUGUGUUGACAGGCAGCUUCAGAAAUAUAGAGAUUCUAAUCAUGGUCUUGCCGAGAUUGGUGGGGAUUGCUCCUUGAAUAAAUAAAAUACAAAAUUCGUACUGAUACA
rnacentral:lncRNA from 1 species